UACGGGGGGGGCAAGCGUUGUUCGGAAUUACUGGGCGUAAAGGGCUCGUAGGUGGCCAACUAAGUCAGACGUGAAAUCCCUCGGCUUAACCGGGGAACUGCGUCUGAUACUGGCGAGCUAGAGUGCGGUAGAGGAGAGUGGAAUUCCCGGUGUAGCAGUGAAAUGCGUAGAGAUCGGGAGGAACAUCAGUUGCGAAGGCGGCUCUCUGGACCAGCACUGACACUGAGGCACGAAAGCGUGGGGAGCAAACAGG
rnacentral:rRNA from 1 species